GUCAUACUUCUCUUUCUCUAGGCGCUUCCUUGACCUUUAAUUAUUGAAUUAAGUUUGUCAUUAACCUUUAUUUAUUCAACUAAAUGUUUUUUUUUAAUUUGAGAAUUAUAUACGACGUUUAGCUAGCUAAUUAAUGUUUUACUUUCCAUAUUCUACUAGUUUUUUUUUUCUUAAAUAGUCUACUAGUUUUAUCCCCUUAGCUUUAUUCAUACACAAAUCAAACUUUACAAAGAUUUAUGGAUCAUGAUCAGAUUCAGUGUAAAACAAGUGAGUUCAACAAUCAAACAACGGUCGGGGGCAUAACCAUCAAACGCGACACAAAUAAAUCUUUCAUUUAACAUCGAUAUACAUGAUGAUUGUCUAGACAUUCAGAUCUCUUAGAAACACAAAGAGUUAUAAGAACAAUUUUUCUUAUUAGCUUUAGAAACUACUCAAAACUAAAGCUCUCAAUAUAUUUCUCUCAGAUCAUAUGGAACACCUCUCCAUUAGACCUAUAUUUAUAUGAAAGACAAUUCCCUUUAACAUGUGGGAUAUGGAAAACACAAACCUAACCUAAAUAGAAACUUCUUUUUUCCUAUUUCUAGGUUUCCUUAUUGUGUUUAUCUUAACAUAUUAAACAUUUAAUAAUAUGUUAAGUUUCCACAAGCUUGGAAUUAUCCAACAU
rnacentral:lncRNA from 1 species